UACGAAGGGGGCUAGCGUUAAUCGGAAUUACUGGGCGUAAAGCGUGCGUAGACGGUAGCGUAAGUCAGAUGUGAAAGCCCCGGGCUCAACCUGGGAAUUGCAUUUGAGACUGCUCUGCUCGGGUGCGGAAGAGGGAAGCGGAAUUUCCGGUUUAGCGGUGAAAUGCGUAGAUAUCGGAAGGAACACCAGUGGCGAAAGCGGCUUCCUGGUCCGACACCGACGUUCAGGCACGAAAGCGUGGGGAGCAAACAGG
rnacentral:rRNA from 1 species